GACCCAUGGGCGUUCCAGGUGCUCAAGGUCUGAGUGGACGCAAAGGAGAGAGAGGACCCAUGGGCGUUCCAGGUGCUCAAGGUCUGAGUGGACGCAAAGGAGACAAGGGCUUCCAAAGAAGAGGUGGACCCAAAGGAGACAUUGUAGACUCCGACGUGGAGGGGCUAGCUGGUGAGAAAGGGGAAAAGGUAUGUCUGGAGAAUCUGGCACUAAAGGACAGCACAGAGUGAGGAGACCUUGGACAUAAUGGUCCAACAUGGAGACUCUGGGAAGCCAGGUGAUGUAGGACCCCCUGGACUGCCUGGUCCUCGGGGGUUGAAAGGCAUGAGCGGUGUGCAUGGCAGGCCGGGUAUUGAGGGUCCACCGGGACAAGAUAUAUCUGACCAGCAUAUUAUUGAUGUGGUAUAAAGAAUGUUGCAAGAGAGGCUGGCAGCAGUAGCAGUGAGCACUAAAAGGGCUGUGCCGUUGAACAACCGGCUAUUCUGGUCCUCCGUGAUUAAUGGUUCCACAAGGACCACAUGAUUUGCCUGGUUCCCGAAGAAUUCCUGGAACGAUGGGAGCUGACAGACGGAUUGGAAACACAUGUCUUAAAGGUAGGGACAUGUUUAGUUUCAUCUACAGUAAUGUGUGUGUAUACAUAUGC